CUCUCGUGCUCCAAUCAUUCAUCUCCUUCCUCCUCCUCCCAAACAGGGCGCGGCCGACGUGAGCGAGGACGGAGCGAGGGUGCCGCCGCCAUGCAUCGGGAGAGCGGCCGCGGGGCGCUGCUGCGUGGAGCGCUGGGAGGAGACGGUCACCGCCGGCCGCGGGCAUCGCCAUGUGAAGAGUAGGUGGCCAGGGGCCGCGUCAGCCGCUGCCUCGGGUCCACGCCGCCGCCGCCGCUCCUCCAUGCCAUCGCCGACCACCCCCUGCGCCGCGUCGUGUCCUCGCCGUCGUCCGACAGCGCCAUGGAGUGUGUCUCCUCCAAGUCGAGUCCCCACCGCCGGCGCCCAGGGUGACGCGGAUCCGGGGCAGGACGGGCAGGAUCUCGUCAUGCCGGUCCUCCUCCGCAUUGUAGCUGCGCUGCUCCCUCCUCCUCGUGGUCAUCUCCUCUACGCUGCCUCCGUCCCCAGCCUCCUCUACACGGCCUCAAUCCCCGGCGUUCUGCUACCUCUGCCCCACCUCCUCUCCAUGGCUUGGCAUUGAGACCCAUCAUGGACCAGCCUCCGCCCCCAUCUCUGCGUUGCUGCAGCAUGGGACGACUGCAGCGACGACAUCGACCGUCUCUUCCCCUUCCCUGGGGAUGCCUUUGUACAUGAACCAGAUCUUGAAAAGCAUAUGGAGGUCAACUGCGCUGAAAUCAAAAUCCAAAAUCACGAGGUUGGAAUGCAGCUCAAUAAGGUGAUUGCAGAUCAUGAGGUUUCAAGGACAGCUGGUUAGCAAUUCUUCAGCUUUAUUUUUAUUAUGUUAUGCAGCUCAAGAAAAGUAUUGCAGUUCAUGAGGUUGCAGGGAUAACUGGUUAGCAAUUCUUUAGCUAUAUUUGGUUAUUGACCAAGAGGACCAGUCCAAAAGAAAGAUGGAACAGGUGGCUUAUUGUUGUUCGUUCCCUUUCCCAAAAGAAUACUUUUCUUUUUAUAUAAUUUGGGGGUGUGCUGAUGUGAUAGUUAAUAAAUUGGGUUGAUGAUGAGGCUGUCAAGAACAAGCGACCGCCGCCAAAGAGGCUUUCCCUAGAGGUACUGUGACUGCAUGUGUAUUUUUCAUAGUUGAUUGGUGCAACAAAUCUGAAAGUUUGGGAGUGGUUCUGAAAUUUGGGAGACGACUUAGAUUUUCUGUUGUAUGGGUCACUCAAUUGGGCAGAAGAGAUAUUACUAGUCCCUCCGAUCCAUAAUAAUUUAUGGGGUUUUUGUUCAAAUUAGCUCAAGUUUGAACAAAACCCCCGACACUUAGUAUGUAUCGGAGGGAGUACUUUCUAUGUGGUUUUGGGAUUGGUUAUUGUGCUACAUGACACACGGUGGUCAUGUUAUAUGCUGGACAAUAUGUGCCUGCUAAAUGUUAGUUUUCAGCACCACCAGUGGCAUUUAUGUUUUCUACCAUGGAUAAUAUCUUAUGCACAUCCAGUUUAUUGGGAUGUUUUAAAGGGUAUUUCGACUCUUCUGUCCCUGUAAUUUCCACAGUAUGAUUGAGAAUGUGAGUCAACACAAUAUUUUUAGAUUUGAGUUCCAUGGUUAUUAUGGUACAGUGCUCACUGGUAUGGAAAUUUGCAAAUACAAGUAUACUAAAAAAUAUGAUAAAUAUAUGUGGUUCAGGUUCAGGUUCAUGUUUAUCUACUUUUGAAUUGGAAAGGAAAUUAGUAUAAAGUUAGGAAGAAGAAUGAUAAUACCAACUAAUGAGUUGGUAACUGGGGAUAUGUCAGAACAACCAAUAGGUUAAGGUUUAAUUAGUGAAACUAAAAUUAUGACGGGUGGACUUUGAUUUUUUUAGUUACUCUAUUUUGAAAUAGUCAUGUACUCAUUUUACAUUUCAGCUUAUUUAAGUUAUGCUUCAUUGUGCCAUUAAGGUGAGAUUGGACCAAUGUUACUGGUUCCAGGCAAGAGAUCAACAAUUUUUCAUGAGCUACUCUGUUUUGGAACACUCGUUUCACAUUUCAACUUAUUUGAAUUAUGCAUCCAUAAAAUAGAGAUGAACUAGAAAGUGCUUCUCUGUGCCAUUAAGGUUAAUGGUCCCGAGGCUGGACAUUCAACUUUUUUUGAGCCGUUGAGUCCAUGAUUUUAAUGGGUGCUAAUUCUGUUAUUUAUAUUGUCUAUGGAUAUGAGAAACUUAAUGUUUCGUACAGUUCUAUCACUUGCAAACAGAGAACCAGUAACAUGUGUUGUCUAUAAUUUGUUUCGCUUUGCCUCAACCUGUAUAUGUUCGUAAGCAUCCAUGGUGGUACUUCUUACUCUUCCUAAGGUUAUUUUGGUUAUAAGUAAAUGAAAUAUAUUAGCAAAUUAGUUCCUCAAAAAAUAUGUUAUAGCAAACUAUCGACCUUAUAUCUGCAUUAUGCAUCUAUGAUUUGUAUAUCUGUUAAUUUGUGCUCGAAGGAGACUGGGAGGUGUUUCACUAUUAUGAAAUCUUUUAGCAUCGUGUUUGUUUAUUGAACUAUCUGCAUGCCUGAAUGUUUCGGUACCUAUUUCAGCAUGCCGGUGCAUUUUAAACCUGUUGGUGCUUUCUCACAACCAGAUGUGAUAGAUUUUGUACAACUAUUCAUUAGAUUGGUUUUCCAUAUUUCAGCUGAAGAAGUACUUCAAUGACACCGAAGAUUUAAUGGACAUUCAGAUGUGGACGCAGGAGUAUUCUGGAUGAAUUUCAAGACUGACGUGUUCAGCAUCUAAAAUGCGUUCCAAUGGGUCCUGAUAAUUACCGGGGUGAUUGGCGCAUUCAUCUUCUACUUCUUCAAGUACAAGAGGCUGAUGCCCCUGAAGAGUAUAAGCUCUUAGUAGGACGGAUUCAACCUUCUAUUUGCCCGUUAAGCUUGCAGUUCACUAUCCGGGCCAAAAGGAAGUAGCAAUUCAUUGGCUUAGUCCUUCUCAUGAGGCAGUACUUGGAAGUAUUCUGGCAGCUGUGAAUCGAGUGCAAGGUCUUCCUUAGGUUGUUCUCUGUAGGGCCUUAUCUUCAUCUAUGGUUCCUAUUACGAGCUUAACUCGCUGGCACCAGCUGAAGAGCUUAUCCGUCCAAGAGUACAGGAGUGGAUGCGUUUUGGGAUCAUCCUGGUUGUGUAUUCUGAUCGGUUGAAUAUGGUCUAUAUGCAAUUAAAAAGUCUGUACUGCUUACCAGGACGUGGUAUGGAUGGAUGAAGGCAUAGAACAGGCGCAUCCCAGCCUUCUCUUACCCAAAUCUGUGAGGCAAGCAUCCUUCCAUCGUUUUAUGGAUUGAAGAAGGCGCACAAUGAGAUCGGUCCACCCUUCUCUUACCCGGAUCAGCCAAGGGAGCAUCCUUCCAUGACAACGGCCAAAUCAUGUACCGAUGUACGGAGUCAGUUUGCUCUUCCUCCACUUGUGUUUUCAAUCUUUGUGUACACUAAUGGAACUGGUUCAUGUGCAAUAUUAAUUAUCAGCCGCUGAUUUUCUAUUUGAUAGACUUGAUAUUGUAUAUAUUGCUAAUCAGUGCUAUGUAUGCAUGUGCUUCACAAUUUUUAGACAAUAUUGUAAAUUUUCAAAUAAAGUGACAAAGGAUGGAAUCGAGG